rnacentral:misc_RNA from 1 species
GGUGAACCUCCGUCAUGAACAUCGCCGUCGUCGGGAAAUUCUUCUUGUUGUUGUUGUUUCGUUUGAGAUGAGCUACUGCAAUCCAAAUCUCCAUUUCCGAUGAUCCUCGCCGUCGCCGGUUACAUUGGAACAAUCCUUAUCGAUGUAGAUAUAGUAAUCACCGGGAGAAUCAUUGAUGUUGCUGUUGUUGUUCUUCUUCUAAUUCCUUUUGAGAUGAGCUCCUUCCAAAUCCAGCGCCAUC